rnacentral:rRNA from 1 species
GACGGAGGGUGCUAGCGUUGUUCGGAAUUACUGGGCGUAAAGGGCGCGUAGGCGGCUUGUUAAGUCGGGUGUGAAAGCCCGGGGCUCAACCCCGGAACGGCACCCGAGACUGGCGAGCUUGAGACCGGGAGAGGAGAGUGGAAUACCCAGUGUAGAGGUGAAAUUCGUAGAUAUUGGGUGGAACACCAGUGGCGAAAGCGGCUCUCUGGCCCGGGUCUGACCCUGAGGCGCGAAAGCGUGGGGAGCAAACAGG